UUUUCUUAUUACUUUACACAGAUUGUUCAUGAGGAAUUUGGUAUUCUUGAAGGUUUAAUGACAACUGUUCAUGCAACUACAGCAACACAGAAGACUGUUGAUGGCCCAUCAAUGAAGGAUUGGAGAGUAGGCCAUGGAGCUGGGCAAAAUAUCAUUCCUAGUUCUACUAGUGCUGCAAAGGUAGUGAAAUCUAAAUUCAUAGGGAAAUCUAAAAACAAUACUGGUUUUAAUGUGGUUUGAUUCUUAUUCUUAUUAUUAUGUUUAUUAUUUUUUUUUUGGAACGAUAGGCUGUUGGAAAGGUUCUCCCAAAACUGAAUGGAAAACUUACUGGAAUGUCCUUCCGUGUUCCAACUCCUAAUGUCUCGGUGGUGGACCUAACUUGUCGACUUGAGAAGAGUGCUUCCUAUGAAGAUGUCAAGGCAGCCAUAAAGUAUGCAUCAGAGGGACCACUCAAAGGCAUUCUUGGGUACACAGAUGAAGACGUUGUCUCCAAUGAUUUUGUUGGUGACACAAGGUAUAAUUUCUUUGAUGUGUAUUUUUAAUACAUUUUAAUUACACUGAUGGAACUAUUGGCAAUGUCAUGCGUAAGAAGUUUGUUUUCAUCUUGCUAAUAUUCUCUUAACUAGUUUUUUUAAAUGGCCUAGAAAAAUCCAUUGAAAAAAACAAGAUCAUAUUGGGGAAACUAAUAGUAGUUAUGUUGUUAUUUGUUAAAAUAUAUUUUUUAACAUUUGGAUGAUGUAAUUUUUCUAAGCAUAUCCUCUACCUUUACCAUAAGACCUUGUACAACUUGCCUUCAAUUGCUUACCAAUGGUUAAUUUUGUGGUCUUGCCAAUCAACUAUCUCCCUCUCUUGGUUCUAUAUCCUUUCAUUUCAUUCUUGUCAAUUCAUCUCAUCAAAAGUGAUAACUUUCUGUGUGUGUGUGUGUGUGUUUUUUUUUAUUAAUGGUUCUUUGUUGCAGUUCCACCAUUGCUUUCAAGAUCAUAUCUUUAGUCGAUUUUAUGGGGUCCAUUGUCACCUAAAUAAUCACUGAUCAUCUUUUGUU